UACGUAGGGUGCAAGCGUUGUUCGGAAUUACUGGGCGUAAAGGGCUCGUAGGUGGCCAACUAAGUCAGACGUGAAAUCCCUCGGCUUAACCGGGGAACUGCGUCUGAUACUGGAUGGCUGGAGUUUGGGAGAGGGAUGCGGAAUUCCAGGUGUAGCGGUGAAAUGCGUAGAUAUCUGGAGGAACACCGGUGGCGAAGGCGGCAUCCUGGACCAAUACUGACACUGAGGAGCGAAAGCCAGGGGAGCAAACGGG
rnacentral:rRNA from 1 species